rnacentral:rRNA from 1 species
GACGAACGCUGGCGGCGUGCUUAACACAUGCAAGUCGAACGAAGUGGCGAACGGGUGAGUAACGCGUAAUCAACCUGCCCUUCAGAGGGGGACCACAGUUGGAAACGACUGCUAAUACCGCAUACUGACGGUGGGGAUUGCGUCUGAUUGGCUAGUUGGAGGGGCAACGGCCCACCAAGGCGAUGAUCGGUAGCCGGUCGGAGAGGGUGAACGGGCACAAUGGGAAUGGGACACGGCCCAGACUCCUACGGGAGGCAGCAGUGGGGAAGCUUCCGCAAUGGACGAAAGUCUGACGGAGCAACGCCGCGGGAGUGAUGACGGCCUUCGGGUUGUAAAGCUCUGUUAAUCGGGACGCGGUACCGGAAGAGAAAGCCACGGCUAACUACGUGCCAGCAGCCGCGGUAAUUC